GCGGGCUCGGCGUCUUCUCCUAAGGGGGGACUACUUGACGUGUCGGUGCGGCGAAUUUAUUUCCCUUUGCCUAAGGAACGGGCUGUGCUGCGGCCCCCAUUGCCUAGGGAAAAAGCCCGGAUGUAAAAUGCUUCAGGAAGCCACGAUGAACUCAUUAUUUUAUUGUGAAACUAAAUCCAUAAAGAAGCCGUGAUGAGUAACUCGGGAACUUGUCAUAAUUGGGCAGUAACGCACAGUUUUAUCAUCUGGAGGAUUCUAGUGGGCUCAAUGUGGUUGCCAAUUCUGAGUGAUUUAAUUGUGAACUUUACAACAUUUAGUGCCCUUCUUAAAGCUGUAGCUUGUGGACUCAUACAACUAUGCAAGAAACUCAGGGUUUUUGUUUUCUUUUUAAUGAAGUUUCUAGCCUGUGGAUUUGUGGUUGUGCCCUUAAAGACA